AGAGAAGAAAGGAACAAAAUCACAGAACAAAAACAUGAACAACUUAAACAAGAAUAUGCAGCGUUCCACGCCAGGAUGGCAUCUUCCAUCUCUACUGACAUACAACAACAUUCUGAAUAAUCUGAAAACCUGAAUGACCCAUGCAGACAAUCUGAGCUUGUCUUAAAAUAUGAAGAUUUGAGACUCAAGUUUCUGCCCAGGAUCAUAACCAAACCACCGUUUCAGUCCGAUGAUGCCAGAGAACGCACAGCCUCAUCGGAGAACGCACAGCCUCCUCAUCGGAGAACGCACAGCCUCAUCGGAGAACGCACAGCCUCAUCGGAGAACGCACCGCCUCAUCGGAGAACGCACAGCCUCAUCGGAGAACGCACAGCCUCAGCCUCAUCGGAGAACGCACAGCCUCAUCGGAGAACGCACAGCCUCAUCGGAGAACGCACAGCCUCAUCGGAGAACGCACAGCCUCAUCGGUUAAGAACACAUACGGAAAAGCACAGGAGGACAUGACAGCACAAACAGAUGACCUAGAAUAUAUUUUCCUUGAUGAUGAGGGGAAAAGCAACACACAUAUGAUGACAUACAGGGACAUAAAAGUGAAAAUGAUCAAUCUUCAGGCUUUGGCUUUGCUGCGCAGAGACAGGUCUGACUACAUGGGCAAAAUUAAGUUUUUAAUCAGUGAGGAGCCAGAGAUCUUGACCCCAUUCAUUGCCCAGUGCUAUAAGAUCAGCUGUUUGAUGUGUCUGCACAACCCCCCACUGGUACCCAGCUGGGACACAAGAGGCACUGCAGCCGAUCCAGAUAUGAAAAUAUUCCCAUUGGAGCGAUGGACAAUGAGAUGGACAGUAGUUGAAGAGGACAAUGCAUGAAUAUCAGUGGAAAACUGGCCAUUGCUGCAGACAAAAAAAAAAUCAAG